GAUGGACGCUGGCGGCGUGCCUAAUACAUGCAAGUCGAGCGAACAGAUGAGGAGCUUGCUCCUCUGACGUUAGCGGCGGACGGGUGAGUAACACGUGGAUAACCUACCUAUAAGACUGGGAUAACUUCGGGAAACCGGAGCUAAUACCGGAUAAUAUAUUGAACCGCAUGGUUCAAUAGUGAAAGACGGUUUUGCUGUCACUUAUAGAUGGAUCCGCGCCGCAUUAGCUAGUUGGUAAGGUAACGGCUUACCAAGGCAACGAUGCGUAGCCGACCUGAGAGGGUGAUCGGCCACACUGGAACUGAGACACGGUCCAGACUCCUACGGGAGGCAGCAGUAGGGAAUCUUCCGCAAUGGGCGAAAGCCUGACGGAGCAACGCCGCGUGAGUGAUGAAGGUCUUCGGAUCGUAAAACUCUGUUAUUAGGGAAGAACAAAUGUGUAAGUAACUAUGCACGUCUGGACGGUACCUAAUCAGAAAGCCACGGCUAACUACGU
rnacentral:rRNA from 1 species